rnacentral:rRNA from 1 species
CACUAUGCCUAGUCGUAAACAUUGAUAGUCUUAUACACCUACUAUCCGCCCGGGUACUACGAGCGCCAGUUUAAAACCCAAAGGACUUGGCGGUGCUUUAGACCCCCCUAGAGGAGCCUGUUCUGUAACCGAUACCCCCCGUCUAACCUCACCUCUCCUUGCUCGUACCGUCUAUAUACCGCCGUCGUCAGCUCACCCUGUAAAGGUCGCAUAGUAAGCAUAAUUGGGUUACCCUUGAACGUCAGGUCGAGGUGUAGCGUAUGGAGAGGGAAGAAAUGGGCUACAUUCCCUUGCAAGGGAAUACAAAUGAUGCACUGAAAUAGCUAUCUGAAGGAGGAUUUAGCAGUAAGUAAAAAAUAGAGUGUUUUACUGAAACUGGCUCUAAAGCGCGCACACACCGCCCGUCACUCUCUCCUAACCCUGCACCUACAAAUAACUAAUUUUAUCUUUGUUCACAGAGGAGAGGCAAGUCGUAA